rnacentral:rRNA from 1 species
UACGUAGGGUGCAAGCGUUAUCCGGAUUUACUGGGUGUAAAGGGAGCGUAGGCGGCUCGAUAAGUCUGAUGUGAAAGCCCGGGGCUCAACCCCGGGACUGCAUUGGAAACUAUCGAGCUAGAGUGUGGGAGAGGUAAGUGGAAUUCCUAGUGUAGCGGUGAAAUGCGUAGAUAUUAGGAGGAACACCAGUGGCGAAGGCGGCUUACUGGACCAUAACUGACGCUGAGGCUCGAAAGCGUGGGGAGCAAACAGG